UACGAAGGGAGCUAGCGUUGUUCGGAGUCACUGGGCGUAAAGCGCACGUAGGCGGAUGUGUCAGUCAGGGGUGAAAUCCCGGAGCUCAACUUCGGAACUGCCUUUGAUACAGCACGUCUUGAGUCCGAUAGAGGUGGGUGGAAUUCCUAGUGUAGAGGUGAAAUUCGUAGAUAUUAGGAAGAACACCGGUGGCGAAGGGCGGCC
rnacentral:rRNA from 1 species